UGUGUAGUAUUCCAAAAUUUCGGUUCAUAUUGAAACUCUAUUAUUUCGCUUGCCCCCUCUUGCCCUUUCGCCCUUGAUUAAUCUGUGUUGUGGAGCUGCUGAUUUUUGUUGGAUUACCCUUUUAUGUGAGUUUUGUGUUCAGUGCUUAUGUUUUGAUUGUAAUUAGGUUUUACUGUUUGCAUUUCAAGUGUGCUCUUGGUUAAUGUUUGAAUGUGAGACUGAAGGUUUUAUUGUAUUUGUGGCGUGGCGUCUUACUGAACUUUUUCUGUGUGUAUGCAAUUGUGGUUACGAUGAUUGAUUAUUGCAUCGACUGAUCCACAUUGUCAUUCAUGGAGUCUGGAUACACUAAGAUAGGAUUUAUCUCCAUAGGCAUGUGUUUGUAUGCUGCAUUGCUAUUUGUGAGUUGAAUUUUGUGCAGAGUAUCUGGAAUUAUAUAAUUAUUGCUUCGUACUAAUGCAGGUCAGGCUGCGGUUACUUCUUUGUCCAUUUGGUUCCAAUAUUGUAGUUCGUACAGCAUGGUGAGUUUUGAGUUAUAUUCUCAGAUGAGCGUCGAUGAUGAGCCAACAGGUGUAAUGAGAUUUUGCAUUACUCCAACAUAGGGUUUAGCUUCUGGCAGUUUCUAACCACAUCAGUUAUGUAUUUGAAAGAGAUUCUGUUUCAUAUAAACCACGAUUGCAGCUAAUAUAUUUUCCACCAUUUUCUCUUUUGACUUGUGAGUCCUUUCGUUCAUAAAAAUAAUCUGCGUGUUUUCUUUACAGCUGUUCGGUGGGGGUUGUCUUACCUGUUUAUUCUACAUUCAAGGCCAUUGAGACGAAGGAUCAAGAUGACCAACACAAAUGGCUUGUAUGCUGGGCUGGAGACUUGUGGAGUUCUCAAUGUUCUUGCUCUAUUGGUUUUGCCGAACAUCUAAAUUUAGAGAAUCUUAUCUUAAGUUAAUACGUUGAUUGUUGUGAGGUGAAACCUCACAAUACCUUUAACAUUAGCCAGUCACCCGAAUCUUUUCAAUAAUAUGUUUAAAAUUGUCUAUUACGCUAUAUUCUAAUGGUGCCUCGACUGAUUUACAGGGCCGAUUUGAAAUAAUCUCAUUGUCAGGUUCAUUCCUUCUGUCAGAGAGCAUUGGUAACUGCAGUCGAACUGGUGGUCUGAGCAUAUCUUUGGCUGGAUCAGAUGGUAGGGUAUUGGGUGGAGGAGUUUUCGGAAUGCUCAAAGCAGCAUCCCCUGUACAGGUAUCUGACUGUCACUCCAAACUUUGUGAUGGAAAAAUAUAAAAUGGCCAAUGCAUUAAGUGAUUUAGGCACAAAGAUUUGGCUUCUUUCUGGUGACGAUAUAAAUAUGAGUAUAAGAAAUAGAGAUAUGCUUAUUUUAUCCAGUAUGAACAAUACAAAUGACUUAGGGGCAUUGAAUUGGAAUCAAAUUCUUAAAAGAUGAUUUAAUUUGUCUGCUGAUUAAUGGUGAGUAAUGAUGACCGUGAACACACCUUAAAUCAGCUUCUCACUGUAAGACUCUGAAAUCUAGCUUACUUUUUCUGAAUCACUUUUAAAUGAUGUUAUUAUAGCUAUUUUGUUGCUAUUCUCGGUUGGCUCUUUGUAUGCUUUUGUGGCAGGUUUGUGGUGGUGGAUUAAAUGAGCCAUACGUUGAGCUGAAGAGGCUUGUGAAUUCACAAGAAAAGUUGUACCAGAUGGCUAGCUAGUUGCAUAUUUAAUAUGUUUAGUAUUUUUGUAAGGCAUAAUAGUAUAGAUAGAGCAGUUGUUGAAUUUUGACUAUAUUCAAAUCUUGUAUGAAUUCUUUUUUAUGAUAAUAAUAUAAAAUUAAAUAUUUUGGAUGAUAUAUAA